rnacentral:piRNA from 1 species
UGGAGUCUCAUUAUCCACACACUGAUUGGU